GACGAACGCUGGCGGCGUGCUUAACACAUGCAAGUCGAGCGGUAAGGCCCUUUCGGGGGUACACGAGCGGCGAACGGGUGAGUAACACGUGGGUGACCUGCCCUCAGCUCUGGGAUAAGCCUGGGAAACCGGGUCUAAUACUGGAUAUGACUCCAUGACGCAUGUUGUGGGGUGGAAAGCCUUGUGCGGCUGAGGAUGGGCCCGCGGCCUAUCAGCUUGUUGGUGGGGUGANGGCCUACCAAGGCGACGACGGGUAGCCGGCCUGAGAGGGCGACCGGCCACACUGGGACUGAGACACGGCCCAGACUCCUACGGGAGGCAGGCAGUGGGGAAUCUUGCGCAAUGGGCGAAAGCCUGACGCAGCGACGCCGCGUGAGGGAUGACGGCC
rnacentral:rRNA from 1 species